rnacentral:rRNA from 1 species
AUACGUAGGGGGCGAGCGUUGUCCGGAAUGAUUGGGCGUAAAGGGCGCGUAGGCGGCCCGGUAAGUCUGGAGUGAAAGUCCUGUUUUUAAGAUGGGAAUUGCUUUGGAUACUGUCGGGCUUGAGUGCAGGAGAGGUAAGUGGAAUUCCCAGUGUAGCGGUGAAAUGCGUAGAGAUUGGGGGGAACACCAGUGGCGAAGGCGACUUACUGGACUGUAACUGACGCUGAGGCGCGAAAGUGUGGGGAGCAAACAGGAUUAGAUACCCUGGUAGUCCACACUGUAAACGAUGAAUGCUAGGUGUAGGGGGUAUCGACCCCUUCUGUGCCGCAGUCAACACAAUAAGCAUUCCGCCUGGGGAGUACGGCCGCAAGGUUGAAACUCAAAGGAAUUGGCGGGG